rnacentral:rRNA from 1 species
UAGGGAAUCUUCCGCAAUGGACGAAAGUCUGACGGAGCAACGCCGCGUGAGUGAAGAAGGAUUUCGGUUCGUAAAACUCUGUUGUUAGGGAAGAAAAAAUGUAUAGUAACUAUAUACAAAAGAGACGGUACCUAACCAGAAAGCCACGGCUAACUACGUGCCAGCAGCCGCGGUAAUACGUAGGUGGCAAGCGUUGUCCGGAAUUAUUGGGCGUGAAGCGCGCGCAGGUGGUUUAGAAAGUCUGAUGUGAAAGCCCACGGCUCAACCGUGGAGGGUCAUUGGAAACUAAUAAACUUGAGUGCAGGAGAGAAAAGUGGAAUUCCUAGUGUAGCGGUGAAAUGCGUAGAGAUUAGGAGGAACACCGGUGGCGAAAGCGGCUUUUUGGCCUGCAACUGACACUGAGGCGCGAAAGCGUGGGGAGCAAACAGG